UGAGUAAUGUCUGGGAAACUGCCCGAUGGAGGGGGAUAACUACUGGAAACGGUAGCUAAUACCGCACAACGUCGCAAGACCAAAGAGGGGGACCUUCGGGCCUCUUGCCAUCGGAUGUGCCCAGAUGGGAUUAGCUAGUAGGUGGGGUAACGGCUCACCUAGGCGACGAUCCCUAGCUGGUCUGAGAGGAUGACCAGCCACACUGGAACUGAGACACGGUCCAGACUCCUACGGGAGGCAGCAGUGGGGAAUAUUGCACAAUGGGCGCAAGCCUGAUGCAGCCAUGCCGCGUGUAUGAAGAAAGCCUUCGGGUUGUAAAGUACUUUCAGCGGGGAGGAAGGCGAUACGGUUAAUAACCGUGUCGAUUGACGGUACCCGCAGAAUAAGCACCGGCUAACUCCGUGCCAGCAGCCGC
rnacentral:rRNA from 1 species